rnacentral:tRNA from 2 species
GCCCACGUAGCUCAGUCGGCAGAGCACACCCUUGGUAAGGGUGAGGUCGGCGGUUCAAGUCCGCUCGUGGGCUCCA